AGGACGAACGCUGGCGGCGUGCUUAACACAUGCAAGUCGAGCGGAAAGGCCCUUCGGGGUACUCGAGCGGCGAACGGGUGAGUAACACGUGGGCAACCUGCCCCUCGCUCUGGGAUAACUCCGGGAAACCGGGGCUAAUACCGGAUAUGACCCUUUUAGGCAUCUUUGAGGGUGGAAAGUUUUUUGGCGAGGGAUGGGCCCGCGGCCUAUCAGCUUGUUGGUGGGGUGAUGGCCUACCAAGGCAAUGACGGGUAG
rnacentral:rRNA from 1 species